GUCUUCUUGAUUAUAUGGGAAGUCUGACCUGCCCGGUGAAUAAUUAUUUAACGGCCGCGGUAUUUUGACCGUGCAAAGGUAGCAUAAUCAUUAGUCUUUUAAUAGAGGGCUGGAAUGAAGGGUUUGACGAAAUGCUUACUGUCUCAUUUAAUUUGAAAUUUGAAUUUAACUUUUUAGUUAAAAGGCUAAAUUGUUGUUGGAAGACGAGAAGACCCUAUAGAGCUUUAUAAUUUAAAAUUUAAAAAAUUUUUGUAUAAUUAUUAUUUUUUAAAUGGAAAAUUAUUUUGUUGGGGUGACAAAAAUAUAUAAUAAACUUUUUUAUAUUAUUAACAUUGAUUUAUGAAUAUUAGAUCCAUUCUUAUUGAUUGAUAGAGAAAGUUACCUUAGGGAUAACAGCGUAAUCUUCCUCCAGAGUUCAAAUUUACAGGAAGGCUUGCGACCUCGAUGUUGGAUUAAGAUAAUAAUUAGGUGCAGCCGCUUAAUUAAUAGGUCUGUUCGACCUUUAAAUUCUU
rnacentral:rRNA from 1 species